UUGCUUUGGCAGCACAUAUACUAAAAUUGGAAUGAUACAGAGAAUAUUAACACGGUUCCUGCACAAGGGUAACAUGCAAAUUUCUGAAGUGUUCUCUAUUAAA
ensembl:snRNA U6 U6 spliceosomal RNA